rnacentral:lncRNA from 1 species
GGGCGGCGGCCGCGCCGUGGAACCCCUGCUUGCUCUGGUAACUUAGAAGAUGAUAAUUAAUGUGGUUGCUGAUAAUUCUGAAUAAAUACAGCUUUUAUCCCAGGUGUGCCAUUUUGAAGACUGAGACCAUAGAGUUCUAAGAAUAAAGGAAAGAGCCCUUGGGAAAUUAUUAUAUAUAGCAAAAAUGUGAAUCCUCAGAUGGAAUGAAAGGCCUGCACCAUAGACAUCGAAGCAUUUACACCCCGCUUGAAGAGUUUGAAAUGGACUUUACCACUGAGAAAUCAAGAUGGCAGCCCAUUAUGGGGAAUUGAGGAAAAUGGAUUAAUGCAAGAAUGCUGUAAUAUUAUACAACCAACACAGGAUUCUUUUAAUGUGGAUUCCAUGAAAUGAAUGAUUCUUACCCAACACAAAUGGACAGUGGAAUUUACUUCCUAAAGACUUGUUACAUGUCAUGUACAUUUUUGACAUCUGGAGAAGACUCUACAAUUCUACAAAUGGUAGUUUGUAUUCCUGGAAUUUCUUGCAGUUUGAUCUGAAGUGACCUUAUGGAAUGUUAACUUUAAUAAAAUCUCUAAAACUUAAAAAUUUCUCAGUUUGGGCCUUUUAUAAAUUUUUUCAGUGGACGUUUUCAUUAAAUGUUCAUUUUACCUUGAUAACAUUUUGACCUUUAUAGCUGCUGCUUUUCAUUAAAGUAUACUAAAUAAAGCUGGUAAAAUGGAAUGGUUUUGUUUGUUUGGGAUUUAUGUGUAUUAGAAAACCUGGAUUUUUCCCGUGAUUAAGUGGAAUGGUCCUUUGGUUAAAAUAGAUAUAUUCUCUCUCCCCCUUCCCCCUUUCUUCUAUUUAAAAAAAAAAUUAUUUUUAUUUAUUUUUUAUUUUUUCAGGACAGGGUUUCUCUGUGUAUCCUUGGCUGUCCUGCAACUCUGUCUGUAGACCAGCCAGGCCUGGAAUUUGCAGUGAUCUUCCUGCCUCUGCCUCCUGAGUGCUGGGAUUAAAGCUAUAUACACCCAGUUUGGCUGGCUUUUUAUUAUAGGGUUUGAAUAAAUUCCUUUGAGUUUGGGUCAUUUCAAAAUAUCUUGCAUUUUAAUCAUUGGGUAAUGGUAACUUUGAAUGUGUCAGGAGAU